CCCGGCUAAUAAAUAAAUCUUAAAAAAGAAAAUGUUAGGGAACAAAACUGUAGAAGUGUCUUCUUCCCUCUCCAUGUGUGUCUGACCUCUCCACGUGGUUUUAAUUUGCAUCUUCCUGCCAAUUCAUGCUACUUUUCAUGUGUUCACUGCUCAAUGUGAAUAUAUAUUUUGAUUCUGAGCAUUUCGCCAUUUUUAAAUGGGCUGUUUGUCUUUCUUUGUGUUGUUGCAGUUCUUGCCACAGUCUAGACGCCAGUCCUUUGUCAGACAUGCUUCCCCAGUAUUUCCUCAGAGGCUUGCCAUCUCUCCAGUCACUCUUCUUUUUCUUCAUGGUGUCAUUUGAUGAGCUGAAGUUUUAAAUUUUACUGGUUUCUGUGACUUAGGCACACUUUCUCCUCUGCUAAAAACCUUAUAGCUUUAAUGUUUAGGCAUAGCUCAUUUAUUUCUUAUUUCUGUCUUGAUGAUUUUCAGAGUAGAUCCUCUAAAGAAAUGUGAAAUAAUAGCCAGUUAAAAUUACUUUUAUUUAGUAACAAGUAAGUUUUAACAAGAUCAUGGGACUCCUAUUAAAUAUCUCUCUUGAGAAAAUGUAUGCAGGUUUGGAAUUACUGAAAAGACCAGAGCAUCUUCCAUAGUUACGUUCUGCCUUCCAGCAUGUACUUUAAGAGUAUUAGAGGUUCUUCUGAUGACAGGGCAACCUUGAUUUGCUUUAAACAUAUUGGUUCAGGUAUGGGUAUGGACUGUGCAUUUCUGGGUGACAGCCAGUACUAGCACAAGGAGUCACCUCCCAUGGGAACCUAUCAGGAAAAUAGGCAGGGUACCUUUUUCCUCGUGGCCCCAUUGGUCUUCAUGCUUGUUUUCUCUACACUUCUAGAUCUGAAAUAGUGUGACUGCUCUAUGUCCUGUUUCAUUCAAGUAUGGGGAGGGGAGGAGUCACAGCCGAGGACCCCUUCUACCACCCUGCCUUCCUCACAUGACGGGCUGCACCCUCACAUUGUGAACCAAACUAAACCCUCCUUUCAGGUGCUUUUCAGAUUUUUUUGUUGGUUAGUGGAAUUCUGAGAAUUCAUCCCAGCCCAACACUGAGGUGUACUUCUAGCCCUUACGUAGCUUUUUGUCACAGCAAAGAGAGGUAAUUCAUGUGGGAGAUGUGGCUCCCAUCUGCUAACUGAGUAGAGACACUGAUGAGUGAGCAAGCCAUUGGAUAUUCUCUUCAGCAGAGGGUGGUGGCUCAUUUAAACUCUCACAUAACACUUGUUCUGAAAAUAGGUUUCCUGAAGCUUAAGUAACCGUGGAUUAACUUUUGGCAAGACUGAAACAGUGGAAGCUAAGCAGAGCAUAGAACCUCAGAAUGCUGGGAAGCCAUACAUUGUCAUGGUUCUGCCUCAGUGCUCUGCAUAGUGCUUCCUUUGAAAUUUGCAGUAACAUUCUAAGGUUUUCACCAUUUAAUGCCUAGAAAUGCUGACACCGUUUGGCCAUUUCUUCAUGUUGUCCAGGCAGUACACCCAAGUAAGAUGAGGAAGCAUCCUCAGGUGGCUUAAAUAACUUGUCCAGAUUGUCCAAGAUCAAAGCUGACACAGUUUCCAGUGUAGCAAGAUGGCUUUUUAGACCUCAGAAGCAAUUCUCUUUCUUUUAAAAUAUCUGCAAAUAUUUGAAUUGAUGCUGCUAUCCAGAUUUUAGUGAAAGCUCCUGGACAGGUCUCAGCAACUCCAUGUCACUGUGGCAGACCAGAUGUGUGCAGAAGUCUGCAAGGAGAGUGUAGAACUUGGAACAGAUUGUCUUCUUAGGUGACACUCGAUGGACACAUGCCAUUGAAAUCAACCGGGACUAACUACUUUGUGUCUCCCAGAGCCCUUCCCAUGCCUGCCCUUCUUCCUCUUCUACUCAGGAAAUCAUGCUAUCAGGGUUGCAGAAAACAUAAACAGAUUCUGGCUAGAAUUUAUUGGAUGAACAGUCAGAUCCUGAAAUUUAGGAGUUGAAGCAGCAAGCAGUUUGAUGACACAAGCCGUGGAUCUCUGGGGCCUCAGAAGGAGAUUGUUAUGGAUCUUCCUCUGGAAUGUUGAUGCCUUUAUUUCUCAUUUUUAGUGACCUGUCAUCAGUUGCCAGGAAGAUGGGCUGUGUCCCAGAGCAUGGACACUGAUAUCAUUUCUCUGAUUCAGGAGUACUUCACAGGGCAAAGGGAAUGUUGGAACACUAAUAUAUUUUAAAGUUUCUUUUUGUAUUUUAUUUGAAAUGUUUAUGUAGUAUAGAAAAACUAAUUUUAGAGAUGACAAAUGUUAUUAAUUUAGAUAACAGUUUACCAUAAAAGAGAGACAUAAGAAAUAUUUAUGUGCUGGGCAGGCGGCAUAACUUGGUGGUGGAAUGCUUGGCUAGCAUGCAUGAG